AGUCACUAGAGGGCAGUGUUACUACCAAUCUUUUCCCCUAAAUCUAUUGAAACUAAUAGAAAAUUACAGAGCAGUGUAGGUCAUAAAAUGUUUUUCUCUGAGAAAAUCUGGCUUCAGCCUUGUGUGUGUGUGUGUGUGUGUGUGUAUGCACACACACUCAUAUAUAGGCCUUGUGUGUGUGUGUGUGUGUAUGCACACACACUCAUAUAUAGGCAUACUACAGCACGAUGGGAGGGCUGUUCCUUCUGCUGGCCUUGCACUGCAAAGGUAUCACCAUGGCCCAGAGGCAAUACUCACCACUUCCCAGAGGUCACUUUUUGUAAUUACCCCAAUGUUCAGAGCAAUACUGAAUAGAUCCCUACAUUUUCUUAUGAUUAAUUGGAAAAAAAAGAUGAAAAAAAAUCUCUAAACCUGAUCCCAGGUAAUAUUUGCCAUAGCUUCUUUUAAAUGGUUUCCCCCCUUAAACCUACCUUCUCCUCACAUUCGAGAGAAGUUUUUAAAAUUAACUAUAAGUAGCUGCAAUCCAUUUCAUCAGCUUCUUUUGUCUUUACCUCUGAUGGUUGACAUAUUCUUAUAAUGAAGACUUAUUGAUGCAUAAUACCACAUGCCUAUGGUAUACAUGAGAAUAAGCAGCUAUUUUGGGGUGUGUGUUUAGCAACAGAGCUGGAAAUUACUUGCCUCCUAGAUUGAUUCUAAUGAAUCUGGGUCUUUAAAUGAACACAGGGAACUGGCAAAGUUCUAACUUAAAACAAGGUGCAAAAAUUCUCCACUCGCAAAAAGAAAAUAAGAUGUAAGGGUAGACUCUAACCCCGGGAGUCUGGGGUUAGAUAGAUCAGCUCAGUUUCAACUAAGAGAAUUGAACUACCACAGUAGGGGAGACUUCCAGGCAUACCAAUAGAACACAUCACCCCGAAGCCUAAGAAAAGCUGUUACUAGCUUGAUCAGAUGUCUAUGGGCUGGAGCCACAAGGAGGAUGGGAAAGAGGCUGAGGUCAUCCUAUGACUGUAGGGUGUCAAGUACUGCAGAUGGGUGAAAAAGAUGCUUGACUCCAAAGCCUCCAAGCUUGUUUUUUGUUUGUUUGUUUGUGUUUUUUUUUUCCUGAGGUAAGUUGCUCAAGAAAAAUACCAAACAAAUGGGUCAUAAUAUAUAUAUAUAUAUUUAUAAAAACAUUAAUAGCAAAUUACUCAUCCUUAACAUCAUAUAAAAAUUCACGUUUCCUAAUGAGCUGAGAUGAUUGUGAAAAGGGGAAAAAUCUCUUUCUCAGUAAUCAUAUGGAGUUUGGCUUCCCAGGCAUCCCUGAAAAGUGGGCUUUAGCACUGGGGUGAACAGUUGACUGCCUCCUCCGUGCUGCGUUUUGAAUCUCGGUCCACUUUCAAAAGUCAUUGUCAAAUUCUUCAGAGUCUUGUCAGCAAGUGAUUUAAAUAAGAGCCUGCUUUCAUUUACAUACACACACAUUUGCACUCCCCAACAACACUUCCUUUGAAAAACAGAAUGUCACUUCCUCAAUCCAGAGGCCAGAAGUCCCUCCGUUCUGAUCUGGGGAGCCAAGACAGGAAACUCUGGUGUACAACACAGUGACUCAACAAUUCUAUACACCACUUGAGGCUCACCACAGUAAGUUCUAUGCCCAGCGUGGGACUGGAACUCACAACAAUUAAAUCAGAAGUUGCUUGGUCUACUGAAUGAGCCAGCUCGGUGCCCCAGGAUUCUCAA